GACGAACGCUGGCGGCGUGCCUAAUACAUGCAAGUAGAACGCUGAAGGAGGAGCUUGCUUCUCUGGAUGAGUUGCGAACGGGUGAGUAACGCGUAGGUAACCUGCCUGGUAGCGGGGGAUAACUAUUGGAAACGAUAGCUAAUACCGCAUAACAGUAGAUGUUGCAUGACAUUUGCUUAAAAGGUGCAAUUGCAUCACUACCAGAUGGACCUGCGUUGUAUUAGCUAGUUGGUGGGGUAACGGCUCACCAAGGCGACGAUACAUAGCCGACCUGAGAGGGUGAUCGGCCACACUGGGACUGAGACACGGCCCAGACUCCUACGGGAGGCAGCAGUAGGGAAUCUUCGGCAAUGGACGGAAGUCUGACCGAGCAACGCCGCGUGAGUGAAGAAGGUUUUCGGAUCGUAAAGCUCUGUUGUAAGAGAAGAACGAGUGUGAGAGUGGAAAGUUCACACUGUGACGGUAUCUACCAGAAAGGAC
rnacentral:rRNA from 1 species